AUCGCUUCUCGGCCUUUUGGCUAAGAUCAAGUGUAGUAUCUGUUCUUAUCAGUUUAAUUAGCCAGAGUUGGCACUCAAACAGAAAGUUAUUUUCUAUCACAAAGUUUGAAUGCACUUUCUCCCUGAAAUGAUUGAGGUCUUUGUUUACUUAUCUGCAGAAUGGGAGCAUUGGACUAGAAAAAUCUCUAAAAUCUUUGCCACUAAAA
rnacentral:snRNA from 1 species